UACGGGGGGGGCAAGCGUUGUUCGGAAUUACUGGGCGUAAAGGGCUCGUAGACGGCCAACUAAGUCAGACGUGAAAUCCCUCGGCUUAACCGGGGAACUGCCUCUGAUACUGGAUGGCUUGAGAUUGGGAGAGGGAUGCGGAAUUCCAGGUGUAGCGGUGAAAUGCGUAGAUAUCUGGAGGAACACCGGUGGCGAAGGCGGCAUCCUGGACCAACACUGACGCUGAGGAGCGAAAGCCAGGGGAGCAAACGGG
rnacentral:rRNA from 1 species